CAGCCGCCGCGGUAAUACGUAGGUGGCAAGCGUUGUCCGGAAUUAUUGGGCGUAAAGGGCUCGCAGGCGGUUUCUUAAGUCUGAUGUGAAAGCCCCCGGCUCAACCGGGGAGGGUCAUUGGAAACUGGGAAACUUGAGUGCAGAAGAGGAGAGUGGAAUUCCACGUGUAGCGGUGAAAUGCGUAGAGAUGUGGAGGAACACCAGUGGCGAAGGCGACUCUCUGGUCUGUAACUGACGCUUAGGAGCGAAAGCGUGGGGAGCGAACGGGAUUAGAUACCCCGGUAGUCCCUGUCUCUUAUAC
rnacentral:rRNA from 1 species